UCCUUACUAGCUCAGCUGUAAAGAAUCUGCCUGCAAUGCAGGAGACCCUAGUUCGAUUCCUGGGUCAGGAA
rnacentral:tRNA from 1 species